CUUCGGCCCAAGAGGUGCAAGCGGUCCCCCCGGACCUCCAGGUGUACAAGGUCAGAUGGGCUUGAGAGGUGAACCCGGAGACCCAGGACCACCUGGACCACCAGGAACAGCAGGAGUUUCCGGUCCACCAGGCCCACCAGGCCCUGAGGGUGACAAUGGCAGAAAUGGACAGCCCGGUUCCCCUGGAGCCCCCGGCCCAAGGGUAUG
rnacentral:sRNA from 1 species